rnacentral:rRNA from 1 species
ACGUAGGACGCAAGCGUUAUCCGGAAUUACUGGGCGUAAAGGGCGUGCAGGCGGUUUCCUAAGUCAGGCGUGAAAGCCACGGGCUAAACCUGGGGAGGACGUUUGAUACUGGGGGACUAGAGUGUGGUAGAGGGGUGUAGAAUUCCGGGUGUAGUGGUGAAAUGCGUAGAUAUCGGGAGGAACACCGGUGGCGAAAGCGGAUCUCUGGCGCGUUACUGACGCUGAGGCUCGAAAGCGUGGGGAGCAAACGG